rnacentral:rRNA from 1 species
UACAGAGGUCCCGAGCGUUGUUCGGAUUCACUGGGCGUAAAGGGUGCGUAGGUGGCGAGGUAAGUCGGAUGUGAAAGCUCGGAGCUCAGCUCCGAAAUGGCAUUGGAAACUACCUUGCUCGAGGGUUGGAGGGGGGACUGGAAUACUUGGUGUAGCAGUGAAAUGCGUAGAUAUCAAGUGGAACACCAGUGGCGAAGGCGAGUCCCUGGACAACUCCUGACACUGAGGCACGAAAGCUAGGGGAGCAAACAGG